UUAAAAAUAUAUAGGUAGUACUUAUUUUUUAACAAACCCUAGCAUUUUGACGGCAUCUUAUCUUACUAAAGGAACUUGUACCAUAAUCGAUAAUCCACGCUAAAUUUCUCUUUUUUCUACAUUUUAUAUACCGCCGUAUUAACCUAUUUUAAAUAAGAACUUUACAUCUAUAACCCUUAAUUCAGGUAAAGGUGUAAACAAAAAAAAAGACAUCUAUGAGUUACAAUAGAUAAAUCUAAAAAUUAGAAUUUAGAAGUAAAAAAUAUAUACUCCAAACAAUAAAUAUAUUUAUAUUUGAAUAAGAAAAAAGAUGUGU
rnacentral:rRNA from 1 species